rnacentral:rRNA from 1 species
AUUGAACGCUGGCGGCAUGCUUUACACAUGCAAGUCGAACGGUAGAGGGGGCAACCCCUUGAGAGUGGCGAACGGGUGAGUAAUGCAUCGGAACGUGCCCAGUCGUGGGGGAUAACGCAGCGAAAGCUGUGCUAAUACCGCAUACGAUCUCUGGAUGAAAGCGGGGGACCGAAAGGCCUCGCGCGAUUGGAGCGGCCGAUGUCAGAUUAGGUAGUUGGUGGGGUAAAGGCUCACCAAGCCAACGAUCUGUAGCUGGUCUGAGAGGACGACCAGCCACACUGGGACGGAGACACGGCCCAGACUCCGACGGGAGGCAGCAGUGGGGAAUUGUGGACAAUGGGCGCAAGCCUGAUCCAGCAAUGCCGCGUGCAGGAAGAAGGCCUUCGGGUUGUAAACUGCUUUUGUACGGAACGAAAAGGUCUGGGUUAAUACCCUGGGCACAUGACGGUACCGUAAGAAUAAGCACCGGCUAACUACGUGCCAGCAGCCGCCGUAA